rnacentral:rRNA from 1 species
GACGAACGCUGGCGGCGUGCUUAACACAUGCAAGUCGAACGGAAAGGCCCUGCUUUUGUGGGUGCUCGGGUGGCGAACGGGGGAGUAACACGUGAGUAACCUGCCCUUGACUUUGGGAUAACUUCAGGAAACUGGGGCUAAUACCGGAUAGGAGCUCCUGCUGCGUGGGGGGGGUUGGAAAGUUUCGGCGGUUGGGGAUGGACGCGCGGCUUAUCAGCUUGUUGGGGGGGUAGUGGCUUACCAAGGCUUUGAAGGGUAGCCGGCCCGAGAGGGUGACCGGCCACAUUGGGACUGAGAUACGGACCAGACUCCUACGGGAGGCAGCAGUGGGAAAUAUUGCACAAUGGGCGGAAGCCUGAUGCAGCAACGCCGGGUGCGGGAUGACGGCCUUCGGGUUGUAAACCGCUUUCGCCUGUGACGAAGCGGGAGUGACGGUAAUGGGUAAAGAAGCACCGGCUAACUACGUG